GAUGAACGCUGGCGGCGUGCCUAAUACAUGCAAGUCGAGCGAACAGACGAGGAGCUUGCUCCUCUGACGUUAGCGGCGGACGGGUGAGUAACACGUGGAUAACCUACCUAUAAGACUGGGAUAACUUCGGGAAACCGGAGCUAAUACCGGAUAACAUGUUGAACCGCAUGGUUCAACAGUGAAAGACGGUCUUGCUGUCACUUAUAGAUGGAUCCGCGCCGCAUUAGCUAGUUGGUAAGGUAACGGCUUACCAAGGCAACGAUGCGUAGCCGACCUGAGAGGGUGAUCGGCCACACUGGAACUGAGACACGGUCCAGACGCCUACGGGAGGCAGCAGUAGGGAAUCGUCCGCAAUGGGCGAAAGCCUGACGGAGCAACGCCGCGUGAGUGAAGAAGGUCUUCGGAUCGUAAAACUCUGUUAUUAGGGAAGAACAAAUGUGUAAGUAACUAUGCACGUCUUGACGGUACCUAAUCAGAAAGCCACGGCUAACUACGUG
rnacentral:rRNA from 1 species